GAUGUGUCAAGUGGACGUUGUGACGUUAAUUGAAAUGUCAUUUUAUUCCAACUGUUUUUAAAAUUUUCCUAACUUUCAAUCUUGUUCGACAAUUCGUAAAAAAGAACUGGUAGCAGAUUACCCCAAGUUGAUUACUUCCAAUAGUAAAGGAUGUCAAAUUUGAAUAAGGCCAAAACCGAUGACGAGUUCCGUAAAAUGCUCAGUUACAUUUCCGAUCGUGAUCGUCGUCUAACUGUUGAAAGGGAACUCAAUUCGUACAUUGUUGAGAGCUUUAGUCAGACUAAAGAAUUAAUUUUAACCUACAUCACUACAACAAAUGAAAUUCACGAAUUUGUCGACUUAGUUGGGAAAGACUUUCGAAGAAUACGGCAGCUACUACACAAAACCGACGUGCAGUGUAAUGAAAUAUCUCAGCAAUUUCGUUGGAUGCUGAAAUUCAUUCACAACAAUAUCGUUCAAGGCAAAGGAAUCAAAAUGUCUUUGCUUAACAAUUACGAAAAUCGGCUACUGGAUUUGAAGCAGUCACUCGUUCAAUGGAAACAUAGAAUUCAUUCGAAGAAUAGAAAAUCAGCAAAUUUGGUACGUAAGAUUCAAACGUUAAUCAAUGCUCUGCUGGAAGUUUUGAUUUUGAAUAGAAAAUAGGAGAAAGUGGAUUUUAUUUUACAUUUUUACGAUGUUGUAAUCACGAUUGGCUACCCCGAUUGUCAUCAAUGUACAUAACUUCAAUAAAACGAAAUCAAAAUAGA